rnacentral:rRNA from 1 species
AGCGAACGCUGGCGGCAGGCUUAACACAUGCAAGUCGAGCGCCCCGCAAGGGGAGCGGCAGACGGGUGAGUAACGCGUGGGAACAUACCCUUUGGUUCGGAAUAACUCAGGGAAACUUGAGCUAAUACCGGAUACGUCCGUAAGGAGAAAGAUUUAUCGCCAAAGGAUUGGCCCGCGUCCGAUUAGCUAGUUGGUGAGGUAACGGCUCACCAAGGCUACGAUCGGUAGCUGGUCUGAGAGGAUGAUCAGCCACAUUGGGACUGAGACACGGCCCAAACUCCUACGGGAGGCAGCAUGGGGAAUAUUGGAC